rnacentral:rRNA from 1 species
CUACGGGCCGCAGCAGUGAGGAAUAUUGCACAAUGGGGGGAACCCUGAUGCAGCAACGCCGCGUGGAGGAUGACGCAUUUCGGUGUGUAAACUCCUUUUAUAUGUCAAGAAAAUGACGGUAGCAUAUGAAUAAGCACCGGCUAACUCCGUGCCAGCAGCCGCGGUAAUACGGAGGGUGCAAGCGUUACUCGGAAUCGCUGGGCGUAAAGGACGCGUAGGCGGGUUGGAAAGUCAGGUGUGAAAUCCUACAGCUUAACUGUAGAACUGCACUUGAAACUUCUAAUCUAGAGUAUGGGAGGGGGAGAUGGAAUUAGUGGUGUAGGGGUAAAAUCCGUAGAUAUCACUAGGAAUACCUAAAGCGAAGGCGAUCUCCUGGAACAUUACUGACGCUAAGGCGUGAAAGCGUGGGGAGCAAACAGGAUUAGACCCCGGUAGUC